UACGGGGGAUGCAAGCGUUAUCCGGAUUUAUUGGGUUUAAAGGGUGCGUAGGCUGUGAGGUAAGUCAGCGGUGAAAUGCCCCCGCUCAACGGGGUGAAGUGCCAUUGAUACUGCCUUGCUGGAAUGCGGAUGCCGUGGGAGGAAUGUGUGGUGUAGCGGUGAACUGCAUAGAUAUCACACAGAACACCGAUUGCGAAGGCAUCUCACGAAUCCGCGAUUGACGCUGAUGCACGAAGGCGUGGGUAUCAAACAGG
rnacentral:rRNA from 1 species